AGAAUCAACGCUGGCGGCGUGCCUCAGACAUGCAAGUCGAACGCGAAAGUCCCCUUCGGGGGACAAGUAGAGUGGCGCACGGGUGAGUAACACGUAGGUAAUCUACCUUCGGAUGGGGAAUAACAAUCGGAAACGGUUGCUAAUACCGCAUAAUGCAGCGGCACCUAAUGGUGACAGUUGUUAAAGCGGGGGAUCGAAAGACCUCGCGUCUGAAGAGGAGCCUGCGGCGGAUUAGCUAGUUGGUAGGGUAACGGCCUACCAAGGCGACGAUCCGUA
rnacentral:rRNA from 1 species